AGAGUUUGAUCAUGGCUCAGGACGAACGCUGGCGGCGUGCUUAACACAUGCAAGUCGAGCGAUGAAGCUCCUUCGGGAGUGGAUUAGCGGCGGACGGGUGAGUAACACGUGGGUAACCUGCCUCAUAGAGGGGAAUAGCCUUUCGAAAGGAAGAUUAAUACCGCAUAAGAUUGUAGUACCGCAUGGUACAGCAAUUAAAGGAGUAAUCCGCUAUGAGAUGGACCCGCGUCGCAUUAACUAGUUGGUGAGGUAACGGCUCACCAAGGCGACGAUGCGUAGCCGACCUGAGAGGGUGAUCGGCCACAUUGGGACUGAGACACGGCCCAGACUCCUACGGGAGGCAGCAGUGGGGAAUAUUGCACAAUGGGGGGAACCCUGAUGCAGCAACGCCGCGUGAGUGAUGACGGUCUUCGGAUUGUAAAGCUCUGUCUUUAGGGACGAUAAUGACGGUACCUAAGGAGGAAGCCACGGCUAACUACGUGCCAGCCGCCGCGGUAAUAC
rnacentral:rRNA from 1 species